rnacentral:rRNA from 1 species
UUUGAUCCUGGCUCAGAACGAACGUUAGCGGUGUGGAUUAGGCAUGCAAGUCGAGCGUGAAAGUCUUCGGACGAGUAAAGCGGCGAAAGGGUGAGUAAUACGUAGUCAACCUACCCCCGAGACCGGAAUAACCGCUGGAAACGGCGGCUAAUGCCGGAUGGUCCCGACGGAUGGCCUCAUCUGACGGGUAAACGGUAGCGCAAGCCUCUGCUCGAGGAGGGGACUACGGGCUAUCAGCUUGUUGGUGGGGUAACGGCCUACCAACUCUACGAUCUAUAGCUGGUUUUA